rnacentral:rRNA from 1 species
AUGGAUUGGCCGGCUCUCACCAGCUACACCACGGUCAUGAUCAUCUUCUCCCUGCCACUAAGCGCUUCCCAAGACCGGCUUGUCCCCGGCAGGGUGCUGUACCCUGGUAACACCAUCGUCUCCGAUGAUGGUGGAUUCGCCUUGGGCUUCUUCAACCCCUGCAACUCCACUCCGGCCAGCUUGUACCUAGGCAUAUGGUAUAACGACAUUCCUGAGCUCACUGUUGUGUGGGUCGCCAACCGAGAGACCCCGACCACCAACACAAUUCCUCAACACCGAAGCUCUCCCUCACCAACAACUCUAAUCUGGUUCUCUCCGACGAUGGUGGCGGGAGCCGUGUCAUUUGGGCAACAACCAACGUCCGCUCAAAAAACCAAAGUUGGAGCAGAGGUCCUUCCGUCGACGAAUCCAGCGGCGGCCGGUGAGAUUCUGCUUGUUUCGAAGGCUGGAUUGAAAAGAUCGAUGAUGAAAAACAAGCGGCGGCUGGUGAGAGGCGAUGAAGAGCAACGCCCUUACAAAAGGGUAGCUAAAAUGAGAUUGGACAGCUCGAGUGAAACCAGUCCAGGCGCCCUCAGUGAACUCAGUGAGCAAGUAGUUUCAAGAUUGCGCAGGAGUGUCGUGUCGCUUGCUUCGUUCGAUGGUGAUACCAAGUUACGUGAAUGCACAGGCAUGUGCAUUGAAACCUCAUCUUCUGAUUCUGAAGCUACAAUCCUGACAUCGAGACGGUUGAUUCCACCUACUCACCCAGCUGCAAGUUUGAAUAUUAAAGUACGCCUUCCGAAUGAUCGGAUUGUCACUGGGUGGAUAGAGGAUCCUAAGAUAUAUGUUGAUUUUUUCAUUGUCCACAUCAAGAACGUGUCUGGUGUUGAUGCCGCAAGUCUGGACCAUGACAUGCAGUUUGAGCCUCAUACGAAGGCGGGGAUUGGAGGCCCCCUUGUUGAUUUUGAUGGCAACUUUGUCGGGAUGAACUCCUCUCGUACCAAAAUGGAGAAGACUGCUUACGUGCGAAGGGAGGGAAUUUUCCGAUUCUUGGUGCUUCACGGGAAGGUCAGUGUUAGAGUUAAGGAAGGGUUUGAUGAUGCUUCAAGGGCAAGAAUGAACAGUGAGAUGAAAGCAAUUAGGCCAAGUUUGAGUGCUAAGUCUGUAGAGAAAUUGAGUAAAUCCAGAAAAGGUGCCUUGACUAUUCAGUUUGCACGUAUGACUCUCUCCCUCUCCAGUACAGCCAUUGCCCUGUGCUCAUUUCAGAUUAAAGUACGCCUUCCCGAUGAUCAGAUUGUCACUGGGUGGAUAGAGAAUCCUGAGAUAUAUGUUGAUUUUUUUAUCGUCAAAAUCAAGAACGACCAUGUUAUUGAUCCCCCCCAUCUAUGUCAUCUAAGUCUUGAUCGUGCCACGCAGUUUGAGCCUUAUAGGAAGGUAGCAGCUGUAUGGCGCGAUUAUGAUUCAGGAGAAUUAAAGACCACAAGUGGAGUAGAUCUUGCCUCUGUAUGCGCUCUUACAGAUGAGGAGAUGUUAAGCACAUGCCGAAUCCAUGAGGUGGGGAUUGGAGGUCCCCUUGUUGAUUUUGAUGGUAACUUUGUUGGGAUGAAUUGCUCUGGUACCAAACAAAGAAAGACCCCCUACGUACGAAGGCCUUCAAUUCGUGAAUUCAUGUGGUUUCACGGCAUGGUCAGUGUUAAGGAAGAGGUUGAUGAAGCUGUAAGAGAAAGAUUUAAAAGUCGUUAUGGAGAUUCAGCUUUCCUCAGGGCAGGAGGCGGGCAAUACAUAAAUCAUCUCGAUGCUAUGUUCAAGAAGGAUAUCUUGAGGAAACCAUUGGGAGGAUUUGCAAAAAAGUUUUCUUGCUCAGGUGUAUUUAUAAAGGGCGAAGCAUGCUCUGCAACAAUUCUGACUUCAGCAAGUUUGUUUAGAGUUCCUGGCAGUUCACACUUGAUCGAUGAUAACUUGAGGAUUGAAGUUUGCCUUCCAAAUCAAUUUCGAGUCGUAGGGAUAUUGAACUGUUAUAAUUUACACUACAAUGUUGCCCUUGUUGACAUCAUGGGAUUCUGGCAUCCUCGGACAAUAAAAAUCCGUGGGCAUCCAGUUACCUCAUCUAUGGACGUAAUAGCUGUGGGUAGUCUUUUUGCGUGUCGCAAACUAAUGGCUGUCGAGGGGAAGGUGUUGAUUGGCAAACAAAGCAAACUUGACUGCAAAGAACUUUGUGUCUCCACCUGUAAAAUCACCAAGGCUGGGAUUGGGGGCCCUCUUAUUGACAAUGAUGGAAAUUUUGUUGGAAUGAACUUUUAUGAUGAGGAAGAAACUCCAUUCUUGCCAAGGGACGUUAUUCACCGCCUCUAA